AGCGAACGCUGGCGGCAGGCCUAACACAUGCAAGUCGAACGGCUCUUCGGAGCAGUGGCGGACGGGUGAGUAACACGUGGGAACGUGCCUUUUGGUUCGGAACAACUCAGGGAAACUUGAGCUAAUACCGAAUGUGCCCUUCGGGGGAAAGAUUUAUCGCCAUUAGAGCGGCCCGCGUCUGAUUAGCUUGUUGGUGAGGUAAUGGCUCACCAAGGCGACGAUCAGUAGCUGGUCUGAGAGGAUGAUCAGCCACAUUGGGACUGAGACACGGCCCAAACUCCUACGGGAGGCAGCAGUGGGGAAUCUUGCGCAAUGGGCGAAAGCCUGACGCAGCCAUGCCGCGUGAAUGAUGAAGGUCUUAGGAUUGUAAAAUUCUUUCACCGGGGACGAUAAUGACGGUACCCGGAGAAGAAGCCCCGGCUAACUUCGUGCCAGCAGCCGCAGUAACAC
rnacentral:rRNA from 1 species